UGUCUCUAAGAUGGCGGCUGCAGCUGCACGAGUGGCUCCCGCGAGCGCUGGGCUCCGGGGCCUGCGGCGCACCCUGCCUUUGGUAGUGAUUCUCGGGGCCACAGGCACUGGCAAGUCCACCCUGGCGCUGCAGCUGGGCCAGCGGCUCGGGGGCGAGAUCGUCAGCGCCGACUCCAUGCAGGAUGGAAAAACUGAGGUACAGAAAGAUUAAAGAGCUGACUAGAGAUCACACUGCAAGACGCCUGCACCUGGAAAUUGGAUCUGGCUCCUCUAACUUGCUUGUACAGUUUGAUACAGUGCAGGAAGAUGAUACUGAAGGUCUUCUUUUCAGUAAGAGUUGUCAUCUUGGCAUGUAAAUUCAAGGAGCAGUGCAUCACCUUCAGUGACUGGAUGAAACUUGGCAGUGAGAAUCCUGAAGACAGUUGCUGAACGUUCCUGUUGACUGCCUGAAACAGAGACCACAAACCAUAUGCUAAGAGGAAAUAAAGCAUCUGUUUGGGCUUGCAUAGAGGAAGUGUUUCUGAUGCCUUAAGUCUUCAAGUCCUGAGGAAGCAGUAGUCGGACAUGGGAGCACAGUGCCCUUUGUGUUCUUUUAAACCUACAGGAAGAGAAGCAAAUGGUUUUUGGCACACUGACUAGUAGGCAGGGGAUGUGUCAUCUAAUAGAUGUGGAACUCUGUGUUCUUUUUGUCUGCUUGGGGACAUAAUUUAGGAACAAUAUUUUAUACUGAAGGACUGUCUAGUGCUCUAGGGAGAUCUGGGAUGCAUGGGGGAGGGGGUAUGAAAGGAGGGAUGGCAUGGAGGAUUGCAGUGGCGUAAUGAGUCUCAGAUAAAAGGCUCAAAGACCUGCUAACCAGAAGAGAUGGGGCCUAUCCAUUGGCUUUUUACCACAACUGACAGAUGCAGUCUUUUAAAAUGACUGGGCAUGACAAGAGGCCAAGAAAGAAAUCUCAAAUGUUUUUGACUCAUGGCGUGUGGGUGUGUAUGCAUGCAUGCAUACAUACACAUAUAAAUGUUUCAAGGUUUCUUGGUUUACUUCCAUUGUCUAUGAAGGACUAGACAUCAUUACCAAUAAGGUUUCUGCUGAAGAGCAAAAGAUGUGCCAGCAUCACAUGAUCAGCUUUGUGGAUCCUCUUGUGACCAGCUAUACUGUAGUGGACUUCAGGAACAAAGCAGCUGCUCUGAUAUCCUUAAGGAAAGAUGGCACCUAGGCUUGAUUUUACCCGGUAAAGCAUUUCAUCCCAUUGAACUUCAGUUUCCUGCCAUGUAAGUGGGGUAUGAAAUUAUAAAUGUGUAGUGAUAAUGAAGCCACUGUUAAAAGGUCAAAGGGAUUGUUAGGUAGUGAAGGAUUGAGAAAUAUGGUUCUAGAUAAGUCUUAAGAAAAUUACUGGAUGAAGGGGUGCACACUGUAAUUUUAGCUCUGGGGAUGCUGAGACAGGAGGCGCAUUAUUAUUCAUAGUCACCCUGGGAUACAUGGUGAGACCUAUCUAAAAAACUAAAGCAAACAAAAAAAGGAAAAUAGUAUGG